rnacentral:rRNA from 1 species
UACGUAGGGCGCAAGCGUUGUCCGGAAUUAUUGGGCGUAAAGAGCUCGUAGGUGGUUUGUCGCGUCUGCCGUGAAAGCCCGGGCUUAACUCCGGGUCUGCGGUGGAUACGGGCAGACUAGAGGCAGGUAGGGGAGAACGGAAUUCCCGGUGUAGCGGUGAAAUGCGCAGAUAUCGGGAGGAACACCGGUGGCGAAGGCGGCAUCCUGGACCGACAUUGACGCUGAACGGCGAAAGCUAGGGAGCAACGGG